rnacentral:lncRNA from 1 species
UAGCAUAAUACUAAAAGGAGGGAUGCAAAAGUGUCUGACUGUUCCCAGCUCAGCCACAGAAUUAAGGAACUUCUCUAGGAUAGAGAAUUUCUGAAUUUGGACCUUUUCAGACUGAACAGGAAAUGAAACUCAGCUCUGCAAAUACUACAGACAGUGCUCUCACCAUUCAGCUUCUCCUGUGAAAGAUCACCCACUUUGCACAGCCCAAUUUUAUGUGAAGGAGAAGAAAGAGAGAACAAUAAAGUCAGAGAAGAACAUGCCCAGGAUUCUGCAGCACACAGCUAUUUCCUUUGGGAGGACAUUAAAGUCAACCCUGAAACAUCAACAGGACAUCUAAGGAAAAGGAAUGGAGGACCAGUGGCUGUAAUACAUGGUGCUACAUUAUUUUGAUCAGUGGACUGGGCAGACCAAUUGUGAAGAGCAAAGAAGAAAAUUAGCUCCUAUGUGUAAGUUGUAUUUCUGAAGAAAUAUUUCCAGAUACAUCAAGGCAAAGUUCUUCAUCCAUGCAAAAAGGACAUCAACAGUUGUACCUUCUUUAAGUUUCUCUGGGUAGCUUUAACAAGGGAAAACAGUCUGUGAGGACAGGAUAUUAUUAUUAUGGAAGCACAACUAAUAGCACAUCCAUGUUAUAGAUAUACAGGGAAAAUUACUGUACAGAAAAACAAUAGAAAUAGAAAAAAAAUAUUCUAAUAACUGGGCUCAGAUGGACUUUAUGCUAGAAAUUAAAUAGUAUAUGCUCUAAUAGAUGUAUUUCUUGGCUAAAUUGCAGCUAUAAACAGAAAUUAUUAAUUCAUUCUGCUGUUUGACCUUUGCACUUGAAUUUAGCAACGUUCCAUAGGAAAUUCUUGCUUACAAAUCAACACAAGAUCAAAAUCACAUUUCUUAUUUCUCUCAAUGUUAAAUCUUAUCAUGCAACUCUGAACUAUUUUUUU